GACGGGGGGUCCUAGCGUUGUUCGGAAUCAUUGGGCGUAAAGGGUGUGUAGGUGGCGCCGUAAGUCGGGUGUGAAAUUUCGGAGCUUAACUCCGAAACUGCAUUCGAUACUGCGGUGCUUGAGGACUGGAGAGGAGACUGGAAUUCAUGGUGUAGCAGUGAAAUGCGUAGAGAUCAUGAGGAAGACCAGUGGCGAAGGCGAGUCUCUGGACAGCAACUGACGCUGAGGCACGAAGGCCAGGGGGAGCAAACGGG
rnacentral:rRNA from 1 species